UUUCCCUCAGGAUAGCUGGCACUCGCUUGGAGCGAGUCUCAUCUGGUAAAGCGAAUGAUUAGAGGCCUUGGGGCCGAAACGACCUCAACCUAUUCUCAAACUUUAAAUGGGUGAGAUCUCUGGCUUGCUUGAAACUUGAAGCCACGAGAUAACAUUAUAAAAAUGGAUCAGAGUGCCAAGUGGGCCAAUUUUGGUAAGCAGAACUGGCGCUGUGGGA
rnacentral:rRNA from 1 species